AAUGAACGUUGGCGGCGUGGAUUAGGCAUGCAAGUCGCGCGAAAAAUUUCCUUCGGGAGAUGGACAGCGGCGAAAGGGAGAGGAAUACGUAGAAAUACUGCCCUCGAGCCUGGGAUAGCGGCGGGAAACUGCCGGUAAGUACCAGAUAACGUCUUCGGACCAAAGGUGUGAUUCCGCUUGAGGAUGAGUCUACGUCCUAUUAGCUAGUUGGUGGGGUAAUGGCCUACCAAGGCAACGAUGGGUAGCGGGUGUGAGAGCACGAUCCGCCUCACUGGGACUGAGACACUGCCCAGACACCUACGGGU
rnacentral:rRNA from 1 species